rnacentral:rRNA from 1 species
UACGAAGGGGGCGAGCGUUGUUCGGAUUUACUGGGCGUAAAGGGCGCGCAGGCGGCUCAUUUUGUCAGGCGUGAAAGCCCCGGGCUUAACCUGGGAACUGCGUUUGAUACGGAUGGGCUAGAGUUCGGGAGAGGAGAGUGGAAUUCCUGGUGUAGCGGUGAAAUGCGCAGAUAUCAGGAAGAACACCCGUGGCGAAGGCGGCUCUCUGGUACGUGACUGACGCUGAGACGCGAAAGCGUGGGGAGCAAACAGG